GACGAACGCUGGCGGCGUGCUUAACACAUGCAAGUCGAACGGAAAGGCCCUGCUUUUGUGGGGUGCUCGAGUGGCGAACGGGUGAGUAACACGUGAGUAACCUGCCCUUGACUUUGGGAUAACUUCAGGAAACUGGGGCUAAUACCGGAUAGGAGCUCCUGCUGCAUGGUGGGGGUUGGAAAGUUUCGGCGGUUGGGGAUGGACUCGCGGCUUAUCAGCUUGUUGGUGGGGUAGUGGCUUACCAAGGCUUUGACGGGUAGCCGGCCUGAGAGGGUGACCGGCGACAUGGGGACUACGAGACGGCGCAGACUCCUACGGGAGGCAGCAGGGGAGAAUAUUGCACAGCGGGCGGACGCCUGAGGCAGCAGCGCCGCGUGCGGGAUGACGGCCUUCGGGUUGUAAACCGCUUUCGCCUGUGACGAAGCGUGAGUGACGGUAAUGGGUAAAGAAGCACCGGCUAACUACGUG
rnacentral:rRNA from 1 species